UGUGUUCUCACAAAAAUGUGUCUAACAAACGAUGGGGUCCACAAAACAAACAAAACACGUGUUAGGGAUUCUCACAAAUCUCUCACAACUUUCUCAAACGUGUUCUCACAAAUCUCUCACAACUUUCUCAAACGUGUUCUCACAAAUCUCUCACAACUUUCUCAAACGUGUUCUCACAAAAAGGUGAGUUCACCAAAAAAAAAAGAAACACAUGUUCACACAAAACUGCCAAAGCAUUACAUACACAGUACAGUAAGAAAUAUAUAUAUAUAGUUAUAAAUGGUGUAAUUUUGAACAUCUAAUGUUGGUAAGGUGUCAGGAAAGGUAAUAAUUAUAAACACACUUUAGUGCUAAAGUAACAACGAUAUGCUCACAACAUUCUGUCGUCCCAAAUGGACCACAAAUAAUUCCACAAAAGCAUUUUAGGUCUGAAUGCUCUCACACAAAGUGAAGUAGCCAUUCUAGGUCUGAAUGCUCUCACACAAAGUGAAGUAGCCAUUUUAGGUCUGAAUGCUCUCACACAAAGUGAAGUAGCCAUUUUAGGUCUGAAUGCUCUCACACAAAGUGAAGUAGCCAUUUUAGGUCUGAAUGCUCUCACACAAAGUGAAGUAGCCAUUUUAGGUCUGAAUGCUCUCACACAAAGUGAAGUAGCCAUUUUAGGUCUGAAUGCUCUCACACAAAGUGAAGUAGCCAUUUUAGGUCUGAAUGCUCUCACACAAAGUGAAGUAGCCAUUUUAGGUCUGAAUGCUCUCACACAAAGUGAAGUAGCCAUUCUAGGUCUGAAUGCUCUCACACAAAGUGAAGUAGCCAUUUUAGGUCUGAAUGCUCUCACACAAAGUGAAGUAGCCAUUUUAGGUCUGAAUGCUCUCACACAAAGUGAAGUAGCCAUUUUAGGUCUGAAUGCUCUCACACAAAGUGAAGUAGCCAUUUUAGGUCUGAAUGCUCUCACACAAAGUGAAGUAGCCAUUUUAGGUCUGAAUGCUCUCACACAAAGUGAAGUAGCCAUUCUAGGUCUGAAUGCUCUCACACAAAGUGAAGUAGCCAUUUUAGGUCUGAAUGCUCUCACACAAAGUGAAGUAGCCAUUUUAGGUCUGAAUGCUCUCACACAAAGUGAAGUAGCCAUUUUAGGUCUGAAUGCUCUCACACAAAGUGAAGUAGCCAUUUUAGGUCUGAAUGCUCUCACACAAAGUGAAGUAGCCAUUCUAGGUCUGAAUGCUCUCACACAAAGUGAAGGUAGUCUAGUGGUUAGAGGAGGCAGGUAGCCUAGUGGUUAGAGGAGGCAGGUAGCCUAGUGGUUAGAGGAGGCAGGUAGCCUAGUGGUUAGAGGAGGCAGGUAGCCUAGUGGUUAGAGGAGGCAGGUAGCCUAGUGGUUAGAGGAGGCAGGUAGCCUAGUGGUUAGAGGAGGCAGGUAGUCUAGUGGUUAGAGGAGGCAGGUAGCCUAGUGGUUAGAGGAGGCAGGUAGCCUAGUGGUUAGAGGAGGCAGGUAGUCUAGUGGUUAGAGGAGGCAGGUAGCCUAGUGGUUAGAGGAGGCAGGUAGCCUAGUGGUUAGAGGAGGCAGGUAGCCUAGUGGUUAGAGGAGGCAGGUAGCCUGGUGGUUAGAGGAGGCUGGUAGCCUAGUGGUUAGAGGAGGCAGGUAGCCUAGUGGUUAGAGGAGGCAGGUAGCCUAGUGGUUAGAGGAGGGAGGUAGCCUAGUGGUUAGAGGAGGCUGGUAGCCUAGUGGUUAGAGGAGGCAGGUAGUCUAGUGGUUAGAGGAGGCAGGUAGUCUAGUGGUUAGAGGAGGCAGGUAGCCUAGUGGUUAGAGGAGGCAGGUAGCCUAGUGGUUAGAGGAGGCAGGUAGCCUAGUGGUUAGAGGAGGCAGGUAGCCUAGUGGUUAGAGGAGACAGGUAGCCUAGUGGUUAGAGGAGGCAGGUAGUCUAGUGGUUAGAGGAGGCAGGUAGCCUAGUGGUUAGAGGAGACAGGUAGCCUAGUGGUUAGAGGAGGCAGGUAGCCUAGUGGUUAGAGGAGACAGGUAGCCUAGUGGUUAGAGGAGGCAGGUAGUCUAGUGGUUAGAGGAGACAGGUAGUCUAGUGGUUAGAGGAGGCAGGUAGUCUAGUGGUUAGAGGAGACAGGUAGUCUAGUGGUUAGAGGAGGCAGGUAGUCUAGUGGUUAGAGGAGGCAGGUAGCCUAGUAGUUAGAGUGUUGGGUCGAAUCCCCGAGCUGACAAGGUAAAAAUCUGUCGUUCUGCCCCUGAACAAGGCAGUUAACCCACUGUUCCCCAGUAGCCUAGUUAAAUAAAGGUUCAGUUCUCUGUCUCUUUCACAGUCAUCAACAUGGGUUUUUACUUAACAGAGGUCUUCUGUCUCUUUCACAGUCAACAACAUGGGUUUUCUUAUUAACAGAGGUCCACUCUCUCUUUCACAGUCAACAACAUGGGUUUUCUAAUUAACAGAGGUCCACUCUCUCUUUCACAGUCAACAACAUGGGUUUUCUAAUUAACAGAGGUCCACUCUCUCUUUCACAGUCAACAACAUGGGUUUUCAGAGGUCCACUCUCUCUUUCACAGUCAACAACAUGGGUUUUCUUAUUAACAGAGGUCCUCUGUCUCUUUCACAGUCAACAACAUGGGUUUUCUUAACAGAGGUCCACUCUCUCUUUCACAGUCAACAACAUGGGUUUUCUUAUUAACAGAGGUCCACUCUCUCUUUCACAGUCAACAACAUGGGUUUUCUUAUUAACAGAGGUCCACUCUCUCUUUCACAGUCAACAACAUGGGUUUUCUUAUUAACAGAGGUCCACUCUCUCUUUCACAGUCAACAACAUGGGUUUUCAGAGGUCCACUCUCUCUUUCACAGUCAACAACAUGGGUUUUCUAAUUAACAGAGGUCCACUCUCUCUUUCACAGUCAACAA